UGAAAUUGUACUCAUCCUUUAAAAUCCCAACUCAAUUGCUGCCUUUCCCAUAAAGCUGAGUUCUUAGACUCAGUUAGUUGCUUUUCUUCAACAUUUUCUUGCCAGUGUGUGUGUGUGUGUGUGUAUAUAUACAUGCACAUGCAUGCAUGUGUGUUUCUUCUGUCAUAACUCUUAAAGCCAGAGGUCAUGUUAUAGUCACCCUGUAUCUUCAUGCCUUAUAGGGAGCCUAGAACAUUGCAGAUGCUCAGUAAAAGUUUGUGGAGUGGCCAGGCGUGGUGGCUCAUGCCUGUAAUCCCAGCACUUUGGGAGGCCGAGGCUGUCCGGAGUACACAUGGCUUAGAAGUUCCAUUAAGCCAUAAGGGAAAACUGAUGGUGACAGAGGAAUAUAUUGACUUCCUGUUAAAUGUGGCAAAUCAAAAAAUGGAGGAAAACAAGAAAAGAAUUGAGAGGUUUUACAACUGCCUACAGCAUGCUUUGGAAAGGGAAACCAUGACUAACUUACAUCCCAAGAUCAAAGAGAAAAAUAACUCAUCAUAUACUCAUAAGAAAAAAAA
rnacentral:sRNA from 1 species